UUUUUUUUUUUUUUUUUUAAGAUUUUAUUUAUUCACGAGACACAGAGAGAGAGAGGCAGAGACACAGACAGAGGAGAAGCAGGCUCCACGCAGGAGCCCGAUGUGGGACUCGAUCCGGGGUCUCCAGGAUCACGCCCCGGGCUGAAGGCAGGCUCCAAACCGCUGAGCCACCCAGGGAUCCCUUACAUGUGCUUUAUAUGUGGCCUGAGGUUAAAUGUACCCCUAUUCCCUAAGAAGUAAAAGAACAGCUAUAAAACCAGCACUCUGUCCCCCUCCGCACACCUGAGGCCAGAGAUGCAAGUCAGCGGGUAUACAGAUGGGGUGGGUCGCAUCUGCACCAUUCACGAGACCGCAUGUGUUGCUGAGACACUAAAAACAUUGUCUUUUGAGCGUCUAGGCGCUUCAUAAACCCCUCCAUCUCUUGAACCCCUUUGCAGCACCUAGUUGGUUUUACAUCAAGGAAAACAUGGUCCCAGGCCCCAGUUCAGAGGCCCAGGGAAGGCAGGGAGCAGGGGGGUGGGGGGGGGGGGCAGGCAGGGGGAGGGAGGGCCCGGCAGCCACCUCCCCUGCCCCUGGGGUCCCUGCUCAGGGAAGUGGCUGGGAGCAGAGACAAGCUCUCAGAGAAGCAGGGAGGGGGGACGGGAGCCUCCCCCCAGUUCCUCUACAACGUAAAUCAGACUACCUCUACAGACAUGAAUGACCCCUUAACCUGGAGGUCCCCCAAUUUUCUGUGACGAAGAAACCCAGGCUGGUAUCUAAGUGACUACCCAUUGUGCUGUCUGGAGAAGUCCACUAUUUGGAACCAGGGCUUCCUUGGGACUCCUCCCAGCUCAAGUGCUCAACCUAAGGAUUAUCCCCACGCAAUUACUCAUGACAGUCCUGGCACCAUUAAAAGGACUUCUGAAAAACUGAAGCUGUGGUCACUACGUAUCCAAAGUCUGACAAUGUGAAUACCCUUUGACCCUGUAGCUCCCUCUUCGGAACUCAUCAUAAGGCUACAAAGGCACAGGCAUGCUGAUCACACCACUAGGAAACCUGAAGCAUCCAUUAAUAAAGUGUGGUGCACCCACACACAAAUCACGCUGCGUGACUCUUUGCUGAGAUGGAAAUAGACCUAAUAUCAAGUGCAAAAAGCAGAUUAUAAAUCAAGUACACAUUAUGAUCAUAAUUAAGUUUUUUUUAAAAAAGGUACAGAAGCACAGAAAAAGGAGUCACUUCAGGGUGAUUUAUAGUUACAGUCUUUCUGCUUCUGUGGGACCUAAUUGUAUUUUUAACUUAAAAAGAAACAGGGCACCUGGGUGGCUCAGUCGAUUGAAUGCCCAACUCCUGAUUUUGGUUCAGGUCAUAGUCUCAGGGUCAGGAUGAUGGAGCCCCACGUCGGGCUCACCAGGAGUCCAGGAUUUGGCUGGGGUUUCUCUCUCUCCCUCUGUUCCUCGCUCUCUACCCCCACCACCACCACUUGCACAUGCUCUCUCUUAAAUAAAUAAAUCUUUAAAAGAACAAAAAUAAAAAUAAAAAAAAGAACAACAACAAACAAACGUAAAUUACUUUUAAAAAUGGAUUUUCUGGUUGUCCUCUCCAAAUGCAGAAUAAGACUAAGACCUUGCCGUGUGGCGGGACAUUCAGGAGUGUUUGUUUUGCAACCAAAGUCAAAUCUCAAAAGGCCCAGGCGGUGCCAACAGAGGCAGGUCUGAAGAGCCGCCUAUGGAUGCAGAGCUACUGGCAGGUCCACUUAAUUAGUACAGAUUCAAAGCUAAUUACCAGGAACCAGCUCAGAGCUUCUCCCAGUCUCCUCUCGACAUCAAAGACACAGACUGCGCUCUAACCCCACCCAGGCGAGCAGCAGACCCCUCACAUGUUUGGGUGCACGGAGACCAUCCGUUCCUACCGUUCCCCUGGCUGGCUCUGCCCCGAGCAUCUACCCCACUGUUUCCUAACACAAUCCCACGGCUUUCCAGUCCACAGCACCUACUUCACCCCUCCCUGCAACUCCUAUUCACUGCCGACUUAGCCUUCUCCCCACCGAACUCGAGACAGGCACCCACCCUUACCAACACAGCCAUCUGCUCUGGUCAGCACAGAUUCUGUGUUUCAGGGUGCUCCUGGGUCAGCCAGCCUUACCAGGCCCUGUGCCCAUCAAGGAGAAAGGCGUCAACUGCUCUUUCCUCUACUCUCUGAGGUGAGAGGCAAGACAGAGAAGUCCUGUGUCAAGGUCUGAAAUAGGCCCCGGUGGGGUUAAGAAACCCUGAUCUUGUCCAGGUGAUGUAGAGCAUCCUUCCCUGCCUGCGACCCAGUCAGCACUGGGCUCCUGAGGCCACAGGCCUCGUGUGUGUUUCUCAGCUGACAGCACCAAGAGGCACCUCUCCCACUCAUCAAUCUGUGGGUGCUGACGUCCCCCAGCCUCUCAGCACUGCCCUCCGGGACUGGAUUACCGUCUGCGAGCCAGCAGAAGGCUGCCUCCAGCCAGUGCAGAGAACAUGGCCAAAAACAGCAGCGGGAUCAAGCCCGGGCCUCCCUGAGCGAGGGGAAAGCCCAGAUUCCCCAGAUGCCUGCCAUGCAGGUGAGCGCCAGCGGGGCCAAGCGUACCAUCUUCCCUCGCAGACAGUGCAGAUCCACGCGCAGGAAGCCCAACGUGGCCCUCGCCUCCCCUGCACCACUCUGGCAGAGGGGCAGGCUCCCCCUAAAGCUGACCCAAGUCAGAUAUCGACUGGAAUGUUCGACUGAGGAGGCAGAGAGAAUCCCCAACGCCUUUCCCCAGAGGCGAAUACCUGGCCACUGGGCUGGUCAGGAGCUCGUGAAACUGAAGCCCCAGGAAUGUCAUUAAAACGAAGCUACUCCAGGGUCCCCUGGGUGGCUCAGCAAUUGGGCGGCUGCCUUCAGCUCAGGUCGCGAUCCCGGGACCCCAGGAUUGAGUCCCACAUCAGGCUCCUUUGAAGAGCCUGCUUCUCCUCCUCCCUCUGCCUGUGUCUCUGUCUCGGUCUCUCUCUCUCUCAUGAAUAAAUGGAUAAAUCUUAAAAAAAAAAAAAAAAGAAAGAAAGCUACUCUGGGCACAAUGGACUUCUCAAAUACAUAAACUGAUGGUAUUUUGCUUUAUGUAAACUCAGCCCGAGAGGAGGACCCGGAUGUGCUCCCACAGGCAGACACCAUGUGUGUGAAACGAAUGGGGUAAAACAGGUUAGACUGUACAUCUACUGGAGAUAAAUGACAAUGCACAAAAAAGUCACUUUCCCUCCGAGAUCAGCUACACUGCAACCCAGCCCCGCAUCUCCCUCGGACCUUGGGGGACUUCUAUUCCCACAGCCAGAGUCCUGGAUGGUGACAGCACCAACCCAGGACCUUCCUGCUUAGGACCAUUUCCCCCUGAGAAGACAAAGAGGUUCUGAAGAUGGACGGUGCUGACGGUGCACUACGUUGUGAAUUUGCACUCAGGCCGCUCCACUGUACCCUCAACAAUGGUUACGGUGGUAAAUUCUGUUAGGUGUAUUUUGCCAAAAAUAAAAGGACAAUAAUGCAACAUGAAGAACACAUCUAGAAAAUGAUCUGGGAAGUCAUACUAGCAAGGAAGUGGGCUUCCUGUCCCUGUAGGGCCUCAGAGCACAUCCCCAAACAAUUCGGCCAGCCACCAAUGUCUGGGCUUCAUGGGCGCGGCAGGAGUCCCAGGACACCCUGCCCCCCAGCACUGCUGCCAUCGCCGGCAGUUCCCACUCAGGGCAUGAGUCAGGAAGGAGGCAGGCAGGCAGAGACACACGUAGACAGAGACAGAGACACAGGCAGCCGGAGCCCGGCAGAGAAGAGCAAGUCAGCAGGACAGAAUGAGUCAGCCGAUGGAGGAGGAAGUACUGGUCCCUAUGUUCCCCAAUGUUCCCCCCGGGGCACACACAGGACUCCGCAGGCGCCAAGAGCCAGGCCCCGGGCCUUCCCAGGCGCCGGGCGCGCCCGUGUGACCUCUGCUAGGCGCCCAUCGUACAUGUCACCCCCCCCCCCGGGGGCAGCCCACCCUGGCCCCUCUGCCCCCGCACAAGGCCAGGUGCACCAGCCCCAACCGGCCUGACACCCCGCCAUGGACGCCCCCAGCCCCGGGGACAGGCUGCCCUGGCCAGCCCCCACGGGCCACGGGGGAAGCACUGUGACACUCUGCAGGACCCGGACUUCUCCAGCACCGCUCCUCCCGCCUCCUGCCCAAGCCCACCCGGCCCAGCACUGGUCCCCUCUGUCCCCAGGGCAGCAGCAGGUGCUUACCACUUCAGAGUCAGAGAGGGCUGCGGGAGGAGGAAACAGGCUCUGGUGGGAUCUGGGACGCGGCUCCUUUUAUUGAAAAGUAACCCCCACAGGAAAGAUUUUACUUCAUUUUUUAAGGAAGAAGUUUCACUCUCCGUGUUCUCCUUCAGACCCGAGAUCUCCUGAGCAGGCGAACAAUACCGCAACCCGUUCUGGCUACAUCUACCUCCCUUGUUCUCCGGGUGAGGCCAGUGUUCCCUGUGGAAGGAGGCACCCCAGUUUUAAAGAGACAACUCAUAAAGAGGUAGGGCGGGCUCCAAGCACAAAGGUCCACAUUCCUGAAAAGCCUGCCAGCCAUAAAAUGAGUUAACACCUGAAUGUAUUAGAGCCUGAGCCGCCCAGGUCUCCCCUCCCCCAGCAGGGGCCAAAGGCCCGCCAGUAAAAAACAAAAACCACAGGGAUAAAAGAUCUCUUGGCGAAGACAGCCAAAACAAUUCCAUCUGUUAACAAAAACUAACUGUUGAAUUAAAGGUUGCAAGUUCAAACACAAUCUGGCUAUUGUAAACAGUGCCUCAGUUUAUCAAAGCAACAAUAACGCUCUUUCAGGGAUUGAUAGAGUUCUCCACAAAUACUCGCCCUCCAGCAUUUUUAAGAUACUUUGCAGGAUAAAUAUUAGCUUGAGACUUGCCUACAGGAGAAGUGAAAGCUGCCAAAGAAGCAGUUCUAAAAAAAAAAAAAAAAAAAAAAAGAGCGGCUUCAGCCAGAGGGCAGGGUAGCAAGCUGCCCGUGGCUGAUGGGAAGGAGACUGGGCCCUUGCCCUGCGUCGUUGAGCGCUGUGCCAAGGCCGGGCGGCCAAGCCCCUGGUACCCCACCCGUCCCGGGGCCGCCUAGGAGGGCAGGGCUGCAGCUCUGUCUCCAGAUCGGGGGCACAGCGCCAGGCACUCCACAAACAAACCACUUGGCAUACAAAAAGACCUGGAAAAUAGAGUUAAUUAAAAGGAGAGAUUUUAAGAUAAUUGUUGGGAUGGAAAAGAACAAGGAGCAUCAUAACUUCAAUCUGAUUUAAACUUAAUUUCCUGAAAGACAGUUACGUCGGCUGCGUAGCCUACUGUAGAAAGCCAGGGGAUAGCGGGCCCGGCCAUCAGCAGCUGGCCCCCAGGUGCCAGGCUGGGUGGGCAAGCGGCGUUUUUGUGCUGCCAAUACCCCAGCAGACAUCUGAAUAAGAUGCCACUUACCCUUCACUUCACCUGUGGGGCGGGGGGGGGGGAGCUUUUUAUUUUAACACAGUAGCUUGCAACUCAAUAGGAACUGGAAGCAAAGUCAGAACAAAGCCAGCCACCACAUAGGUGACACGCGGGUGACACACAAGUCUUUCCUCCCAGCAAGAGACCACUCAGGGAGACCGCUAGGUGUGGGGCUCUGCGCUGGGCGUGGGGCUCUGCGGAGCCAGGUGGGCGGGAGGGACUGAGCACCUGUGGAUCACAGCCUCGCCCACCACAAGCCCUGGGCUCUGGACCUUGACUCCCACCCCCUUAAUCUUUCAAGGCCACCCUCGGUUCUCGCACUCCUCUGAAACAGAGCAGUGUGUAAUGCUGCUCGAAACAAGUUCUGCUUCCUCCCAGGCCUGCAGUCGGCGGGGUGGAGUGACGGUCGGCGCGAUGUCCCCAAUCACUGAGGUCCUCAAUCACUAACUGGGUCUCUCGUGACUGCAGAUUCAGACGUUCAGCCCUCAUGUCCCCGUCUACAAUGGGAAUGACACCUCCAGAUCGUGCAGAGGACCAAGUAGUGCGAGGAUCACCACGGAGCCCAAACCCUGCAGGUUCUCGGCAAAGGGAGCAGCUGCCACCACCCUCAACCCUCUGCAGUAGGACCGUGGUUGCCUUUGCCUACGUCUGGAUAAGAUAGUCUUGAAAACUUCCUGGGUGGGGCCGCCUGGGUGGCUGAGUCUGUUAAGCCUAUGCCUUCAGCUCAGGUCAUGAUCCUUGGGUCCUGGGAUCGAGUCCUGUGUCGGCUUCUC
rnacentral:lncRNA from 1 species